UGGGGGGCGCUGGGGGGGCGGGGUCUGUUCGCCAGGUCAGCUGCCGAGCGCUGCAGUCAGCUGGGGCGGGGGAGCAUCCUUCUAUUCUAAAUCACCUCAAAUCCUCGUCCCGUGUAGGCGGUAAGAGACCUGAGCCUCUUCCCUACCAGGGACCUAAACUCUGCCCUCCGACUGGGUUAGUUCGCUUUCCUGCAUCCACUCUCUACCUCUCAUUUUAAGCCCCUUAUGCCUGGACGUUUCUCUCCUCGUAACUCAAGGUGAGAAGCCUGUUGCCCGUCUUUACUCCGUAAUUAACGGGUGUUUUGACCAGUAUAUACCCUGCUGCCCGGAAAAUUGGGAGUUUGGGACACCUAGACAUGAGAGGACAGAGAAACAUUUUGGACAUUCCCAUCCCUGAUGCCGAGAACUCCUAAACUGCCUCCCCACGCCUGCUGAAGUGUAUCUCUGCCCCUCCCAUCCCAAGUCACAGGCUCUCCUCUGCUGCUGGAGGGAUUUCAUCGCAUCUGCAACCCAGGGUGAACGUGGUCUUCUGCAUCUUAGGCAUUAUCGUGAUGGCCACCACCAAUUCUCUCAUGUGGACGUUCUUUAGCCGGGGCCUCAGUUUCUCCAUGUCUUCGGCCAUUGCAUCUGUCACGGUGACUUUUUCAAACAUCCUCAGCUCGGUGUAUGUAUCCUGUGACCCAGCAGUUGACUUUGGAAGAUUUAUGUCACAGAUGUUGUCACCCGCAAGUGCAAAGACGUGUGCGAGGAAGUGAUGUAUGAGGUCUGGAACAACUUCAAGGCCCACCCAGAGGCAGUAGUGGCCGCUGAAGAGAAUGACAUCUACUUGGAUGGUUAAGAAAUCAACUCCAAGAAGCGAGGCACCGGGGCGUUCCACAGGCAGGAGGCUGCCCAGCACACCUGGAAGAGGGAUUUGCUUUGUUUUGCAGAAACUAGAAUCGUCCAUUGGGAUUUCUGAAAGUAAUAAUAAUAAAAGAGGAACUCAAGUGGCUUUGCCCUUUCUCUGGUUUCCAUAAAGUGGAAGAAUGUCCAGCCGGGACGCAAUCAGGGUUUGGGAGAGAUGCGGGCCACUCCCAGUUAAUUUCCAAAAUAGAAGAUGCCCAAAUAGGUAUAAACAUUUUAACGAUCACCAUUUCACGGAGGAGGAAACUGAGGCACAGAACGCGAGCAUCUGUCCCAGGUCACACGGUGAGUGUGUGCACAGGCCCUCCUGGGCGCCCUGCCCGUCCGGACAGGCCACACCCUCCAUGUGUUCUGCGAUGCUCUGGGGAGCCACACUGGGCGGGGGUGCCAGGCUGGGCUGGCAACCCCUUGUGCCACUGGGGUGGACGCUGAUGCCCACCCCUCAUGCGUGCGUCAGAUGGACGUGCUCGCCAGGAAUUGGUCCGGGAGCUACCAGAGGCGCCUGGCUGGUACCUGUGGGCAGGCGGUGCCCUAGGCUUUACCCGGUGUUCUCCGGGACCCUGAGCACAGGUUGGCAGGAUACCAGGAGGGAGAGGGGAGAGGCCCCAGGAGUGGGGCUCCCAGCACCCCCAGUCGCUGCUCACCCCGCCUGGCAUUUCUGUACUGAGAGCGUGGGGUCCCCAUCCCAGCACGCACUGAAUCCACCUAUAAUCCAGCCCAUGACGUGAGAAGAACCUCAGAGUGGACACCCACCGGAACGAGAUGAGAGAAACUGCAGACCCUGUCGGGUAGGGGCCCACCCCCUCCCUCCCUUUCCUCCCUCUCCCAGGAAUCUUCCAGCACAAACCCAGUCUCCAGACCCUCCCCACCCCCAAGACUCGUGGAGGCCCCAACCGCUCCCAGAGACUGAUCCAAGUUGUACACAGGUGUCCACUGCUCCUGAAAUGCAGUAUUUUCCACAAGCAGAUCAGCUGGAGGUGUGCGUACAGGCAGCGUCCUGGACCGGUGCCCUUGCCCCCAGCGGUGGAGGCUGGGAAUCUGCACUGAAUGAAGGGAUGUGCUCCCCUUUGCAGGAAGGCCUCACGGGGGAACGGCCACGGGUGGGGGCCCCAGGCCGGCUUGUGAAUUUGCCGGAUCUGCUGCUUCGGUUCCAUCUUCUACGCUCCAGCCCCUCUCGGCCAAGCAAGUACCGUUUACUCCAGCACCCCUGGGUCCUCCCCAUCCACUGCUCCCCAGGACUAACGCUGCCUUUGGGACCCUGGGGGCCUCCACCUCAGGGCGCAGAAAGAUCAGGUCAGUCAAGGGGAUUCCAACUUUGAGUAGCCUGGGAGAAGAGCAUUUUAAACAAGGUGCCCCUUGGGGGCCUCUGGGUGGCUCAGUCGGUUAAGCGGCUGACUCUUGAUUUUGGCUCAGGUCUUGUUCUCAAGGUUCGCGAGUUUGAGCCCCGCAUCGGGCUCUGUGCUGACAGCUCAGAGCCCUCUUGGGAUCUUCUGUUCCCUUCUGCUCUUCCCCAACUCGUUCUCUCUCUCUCAACAAAAUAAACAUUAAAAAACAAAUAAACAAGGUGCCCUUUCCUGACCUUGGGGUAAAGCAGAUACCCCCCAAGGGGCACCCCACUUGAAGCCUCCCACCUUGCCCACCCGUGCCCCAGUGGGUCUGGAAGCAUGGGCAGCAGGCCGUUCAGGAGCCCACCCUGAGGCGCCCAGGUCUGCAGACGGGCUCUUGCAGGGCGUGGGCCGGCCCAGCUUGGGAGCCUUGGGCAGGCGCAGGGGAGGGAGACCCCGUGGCCAGCAGGUCCCCCUUCCCUUGAGCAGGGGUCUGUUCUGGGGUGGGGGGCAGGUUCGUCUUCCCGGGAGGAGGUACCUCCUCGUGUGGACUGAAAGCCCUUCUUCGUUCACCGGAGGUGCUCCUUGGUGUUGUGCCCUCCAGAGACUUGCUCAGAUGAUCAAUAUGCUUUUAAUUAAAACUCUGCUUCAAGAUGACUGUGUGGUCCCCUGGGUCAUUUUCUUCUUUCUGCCAACAAGUUUCUUAAAGUAUCUUGUGCUGGGCAUCACGUGGGCCCUUGGGGAGCCAUCUGAUCCUCUGAAUUUCCCAGGCCAAGGGCCUCUUGAGAGGUUGGGCUUUCUUUUUUUCUCUUUUUUAAUACUUAUUUAUUUGAGAGAGAGAGCAAGCAGGGGAGGGGCAGAGAGAGAAAGAAUCCCAAGCAGGCUCAGCACAGAGCAUGACGCUGGCUCGAACCCACGAACUGUGAGAUCGUGACCUGAGCUGAGUCGGACGCUCAAUCGACUGAGCCCCUCAGUCUCCCUGGUCGGGCUUCUUUAUUGAGCCUUAUUCAGGACGCCCCGCCCCUCUCUCAGAGGCUGUAACCCUAGCAGACACAUUCUGGCUGAGUCAUGUGUUGAAUGAGUGUCUUUUAGUGUGUAAUCUGCAUGACAUUCAGGGGCAGUGGCCUGGCUUCUAAAGUCAAAACCCCUCAACCUUGGGCACUCUUGCCCCAAAUGCCCACUUCCGUGGCAUACAGUAGUUGUUCGAUAAAUGCAUGAAAGGUAACUUUUCCUGGGCGCCUGGCUGGCUCAGAUGGUUGAGCGUCCAGCUUUGGCUCAGGUCAUGAUCUCAUGGUUCGAGCCCCACAUCAGGCUUUCUGCUGCCAGUACGGGACUCAUUUCGGAUCCUGUCUCUCUCUCUCUCUCUGCUCCUCC